rnacentral:rRNA from 1 species
UCAUUAAGUUUGGGGACGUCUAGCGAGACUGCCAGUGAUAAACUAGGAGGAAGGUGGGGAUGACGUCAAAUCAUCAUGCCCCUUAUGACCUGGGCUACAAACGUGAUACAAUGGCUGGAACAAAGGGAUGCGAAGCAGUGAUGUGGAGCGAAACCCAUAAAAACAGUCUCAGUUCGGAUUGAAGUCUGCAACUCGACUUCAUGAAGUCGGAAUCGCUAGUAAUCGCGGAUCAGAACGCCGCGGUGAAUACGUUCUCGGGGUUU